UUAUACUUAGGAAAAAGGUAUUUGAGAUAAUUGCUUUUUUUUUUUUACCUUGUUUCUGUCUUUAGGAUAAUUUUAUUGAAUAUUGCAAUCAAAAAAGAGAAAGAAUAAAUUCUUAUUCUGUAUUGUCCUAGAGCAAUGACAAUCAACUGGUGAACAGUUUGCCUAAUGAGGCAGUUACAGCACUCAGAAGAUGCCCUGAAAUCAAGUUCUAGAUCCAGGUGAAAUUCCAGUUCCUUCACUAACCUACCCUUCAAGAUUGCUCCCACAACAACACAAACACAGUGAAGACAGCAAAAAUGUGACACCCUCCUCUUCUGGAACAAGGAAGAUGAUCAGCUUUUGGAA
rnacentral:lncRNA from 12 species